rnacentral:lncRNA from 1 species
UGUCUUCCUGUCUAUUGUCGUAUGAAAAUGCUCAUCAUGUUUUCAAGCACAGCAUUUUGCUAAUGUGUAAGUAUAAAACCUCGUUUUUUUCUCCAGACUUUUUCUCCAUUUUCUAAACUGCAAGCAUUAAAAUUACAGGAUACGCUCCUGUUCAAAACUACAAGUCCAACAAGGAAACACCUCAUAAAUGUUACUGUAAUUAUUGUUAAUUACUCCAGUCACUGAAAAUUUAAAAGCUCGAAUGAUCACCGCUUCAGGUGUCUGCUGAAAAUACCCCAUGAAAUGCAUCUUUUCAUGCAAAGAAUAUUCAAAUUGUUAUUAAAAAAAUUUCCUUGUUUGUUCACAGAUGCUGCAUAAUCGGCAGAUCGUAAUAUUUUAUGAAUCAUCACACAUUGAAAACCUGUCUUCCUGUCUUUUGUCGUAUGAAAAUGCUCAUCAUGUUUUCAAGCACAGCAUUUUGCUAAUGUAUGCUGCAUAAUCGGCAGAUCGUAAAUAUUUUAAGAAUCAUCUUACAUUGAAAACCUUUCUUUUUCCGUAUGAAAAUGCUCAUCAUGUUUUCAAGCACAGCAUUUUGCUAAUGUGUAAGUAUAAAACCUCGUUUUUUUCUCCAGACUUUUUCUCCAUUUUCUAAACUGCAAGCAUUAAAUUACCGGAUACGCUUCUGUUCAAAAAGUACAAGUCCAACAAGGAAACACCUUAUAAAUGUUACUGUAAUUAUUGUUAAUUACUCCAGUCACUGAAAAUUUAAAAGCUCGAAUGAUCACCGCUUCAGGUGUCUGCUGAAAAUACCCCAUGAAAUGCAUCUUUUCAUGCAAAAAUAUUAAAAUUGUUAUUAAAAAAUUUCCUUGUUUGUUCACAGAUGCUGCAUAAUCGGCAGAUCGUAAAUAUUUUAUGAAUCAUCACACAUUGAAAACCUGUCUUCCUGUCUUUUGUCGUAUGAAAAUUCUCAUCAUGUUUUCAAGCACAGCAUUUUGCUAAUGUGUAAGUAUAAAACCUCGUUUUUUUCUCCAGACUUUUUCUCCAUUUUCUAAACUGCAAGAAUCAAAAUUACAGGAUACGCUUCUGUUCAUAAAGUACAAGUCCAACAAGGAAACACCUCAUAAAUGUUACUGUAAUUAUUGUUAAUUACUCCAGUCACUGAAAAUUUAAAAGAUUCUUCAUCAAGUCAUUUAAAGACUCUAGGGAAAUGUCGAAUGAUCACCACUUCAGGUGUCUGCUGAAUAUACCCCAUGAAAUGCAUCUUUUCAUGCAAAGAAUAUUAAAAUUUUUAUUAAAAAAAUUUCCUUGUUUGUUCACAGAUGCUGCAUAAUCGGCAGAUCGUAAAUAUUUUAUGAAUCAUCACAUUGAAAACCUGUCUUCCUGUUUUUUAUGUAUGAAAAUGCUCACCAUGUUUUCAAGCACAGCAUUUUGCUAAUGUGUAAGUAUAAAACCUCGUUUUUUUCUCCAGACUUUUUCUCCAUUUUCUAAACUGCAAGAAUCAAAAUUACAGGAUACUCUCCUGUUCAAAAAGUACAAGUCAAACAAGGAAACAACCCACAAUAUUAAUGUAAUUAUUGUUAAUUACUCCAUGUACUGACAGUUUUA